AAUAUUGCACAAUGGAGGGAACUCUGAUGCAGCAACGCCGCGUGAGUGAAGAAGGUUUUCGGAUCGUAAAACUCUGUCAUUGGGGAAGAAUAAACGACGGUACCCAAGGAGGAAGCUACGCCUAACAUCGUGACAGCAGCCGUGGUAAUACGUAGGGGGCGAGCGUUGUCCGGAAUUACUGGCCGUAAAGGGUACGUAGGAGGCUAUAUAAGUCAGGUGUGAAAUACCAGUGCUUAACACUGGAAUUGCAUUUGAAACUGUGUAGCUUGAGUGCAGGAGAAGAAAGUGGAAUUCCUAGUGUAGCGGUGAAAUGCGUAGAGAUUAAGAGGAACACCAGUGGCGAAGGCGACUUUCUGGACUGUAACUGACGCUGAGGUACGAAAGCGUGGGUAGCGAACA
rnacentral:rRNA from 1 species